ACGGGAGGCAGCAGUGAGGAAUAUUGGUCAAUGGCCGGAAGGCUGAACCAGCCAUGCCGCGUGCAGGAAUAAGGCCCUAUGGGUCGUAAACUGCUUUUGACGGGGAGCAAUAAGGUCUACGUGUAGACCGAUGAGAGUACUCGUCGAAUAAGCAUCGGCUAACUCCGUGCCAGCAGCCGCGGUAAUACGGAGGAUGCAAGCGUUAUCCGGAUUUAUUGGGUUUAAAGGGUGCGUAGGCUGUGCGGCAAGUCAGAGGUGAAAGCCCGGGGCUUAACUCCGGAACUGCCUUUGAUACUGUCGCGCUGGAAUACGGAUGCCGUGGGAGGAAUGAGUAGUGUAGCGGUGAAAUGCAUAGAUAUUACUCAGAACACCGAUUGCGAAGGCAUCUCACGAAUCCGUCAUUGACGCUGAGGCACGAAAGCGUGGGGAUCAAACAGGAUUAGAUACCCUGGUA
rnacentral:rRNA from 1 species